GCAAAGUUAGCAAUAUAGAAAAUUAAAGAGAGAGAGUUAGAGAAGAAAACACAGAGAUUUAUCCUGGUUCGGUUGUCAACAACAACCUACGUCCAGUCCUGAAAAUCCAAUCGGAUUUCAGAUUUUCUUCUCCUUCAAUAGAAAGAAUCAAUUACAGAUUGUCCAGUUUCCUCCCUGAAACCUAUCUAUCUUAAUGAUCUCUUUCCUAUUGAAUACCCUCUGAUCCUUGUAGAUACUCGUCAAUCUAACACAGAAUCACAGUGCGACUCUUUCUUGUUGAACACUCUUCACCCAAGAAAGUAGCCACCAGUUUCUAGCUGGCUUUCUAUCAACCCUUUGAUCCUUGUAGACAAUCGGCAGCCUAACACAAAAUCAAAGUACGACUCUUUCUUGUUGAGCCCUCUCACCCAAGAAAGUAGCCACCAGUUUCUAGCUGGAUUUCUAGCGUUCGUUUUGGUUCAAAGAUUUAUUACAGAAUGAAUAAAAGAAGUAAAACAAAAGGGUCUUCAAUCUUUAUGAAUGUUGCUCCUCACGAAUCUGGAUAUUCAAGGAAUGUUCAUGAGCACAUUAUCAUUUCUCUUGGAUUGUCAACAAACUGUAUUGUAAUCUGUAAUCACAAUUAUGAAGUUGUUAGUUUGUUGUUAUGAACAGUUGAGAGCAUUAUGAGAAAUUAUGAAAGUUAUGAAUUAUUAUGAAAAAGUUAUUAGAAUAAAGAUUGAAAGACAGUUUAUAUAGUUUCUGAAAAACCAACUACGCAAUCGAUUUCCCAAUCGAUUUUGUAAAGUUAUAAAAGGUGCUAAAUCGAUUUGCCAAUCGAUUAUCGCGAUCUUGGUUUUCUUUAAUCUUGAAACUAUACAAGCUAAUCGAUUUACCAAUCGAUUCUUUAAAACAACACUUUUCAGCAGAACAUGUCCA
rnacentral:lncRNA from 1 species